UAUUAUUGUACUGUUUAUAUACAACGUUUGACCAUUCAUCUUAUUUUAAAAAAAUAUUAUGACUAGUAUUUUUGUUUUUAUUAAAUGAUAAAACAUAAAUAGUACUAUUUUUUUUUAUUUUUUUAUAAAUUUUUCAAAUAAGACGGACUGUCAAACGUUGGACACGGAAAUCCAUAAUUGCAUUGAAA
rnacentral:pre_miRNA from 1 species